AACGAACGCUGGCGGCAUGCCUAACACAUGCAAGUCGAACGAGACCUUCGGGUCUAGUGGCGCACGGGUGCGUAACGCGUGGGAACCUGCCCUUAGGUUCGGAAUAACUCCCCGAAAGGGGUGCUAAUACCGGAUAAUGUCUUCGGACCAAAGAUUUAUCGCCUUUGGAUGGGCCCGCGUUGGAUUAGCUAGUUGGUAGGGUAAAAGCCUACCAAGGCGACGAUCCAUAGCUGGUCGGAGAGGAUGAUCAGCCACACUGGGACUGAGACACGGCCCAGACUCCUACGGGAGGCAGCAGUGGGGAAUAUUGGACGAUGGGCGAAAGCCUGAUCCAGCAAUGCCGGGUGAGUGAUGAAGGCCUUAGGGUUGUAAAGCUCUUUUACCCGGGAUGAUAAUGACAGUACCGGGAGAAUAAGCUCCGGCUAACUCCGUG
rnacentral:rRNA from 1 species